rnacentral:tRNA from 1 species
AUACUGGAUGCAGGAAUUGAACCUACCUGUGCCACAUUAUGAGUAUGGUGCUUAACCAAUAAGCUAAUCCAGUA